GACGAACGCUGGCGGCGUGCUUAACACAUGCAAGUCGAACGGAAAGGCCCUGCUUUUGUGGGGUGCUCGAGUGGCGAACGGGUGAGUAACACGUGAGUAACCUGCCCUUGACUUUGGGAUAACUUCAGGAAACUGGGGCUAAUACCGGAUAGGAGCUCCUGCUGCAUGGUGGGGGUUGGAAAGUUUCGGCGGUUGGGGAUGGACUCGCGGCUUAUCAGCUUGUUGGUGGGGUAGUGGCUUACCAAGGCUUUGACGGGUAGCCGGCCUGAGAGGGUGACCGGCCACAUUGGUACUACGGUACGCCGCAGUGGCGAAUAUUGGACAGCGGGGGCGAGUAUUGUCCAGUGAUCGCGAGUCUGUGGAGGCAGCGUUGGGGUCGUGAAGACGUCUUGCUGGUAGUAAACAGCUUUCGCCUAUUACGAAGCUGGACUGACGGUAAUGAGUGAAGAAGCACCGGCUAACUACGUG
rnacentral:rRNA from 1 species